AUUGAACGCUGGCGGCAUGCCUUGCACAUGCAAGUCGAACGGCAGCGCGGGAGCAAUCCUGGCGGCGAGUGGCGAACGGGUGAGUAAAGCAUCGGAACGUAUCCGGGAGUGGGGGAUAACGUAGCGAAAGUUACGCUAAUACCGCAUAUUCUGUGAGCAGGAAAGUGGGGGACCGCAAGGCCUCACGCUUUCGGAGCGGCCGAUGUCGGAUUAGCUAGUUGGCGGGGUAAAGGCCCACCAAGGCGACGAUCCGUAGCGGGUCUGAGAGGAUGAUCCGCCACGCUGGGACUGAGACACGGCCCAGACUCCUACGGGAGGCAGCAGUGGGGAAUUUUGGACAAUGGGCGCAAGCCUGAUCCAGCCAUGCCGCGUGAGUGAAGAAGGCCUUCGGGUUGUAAAGCUCUUUCGGCGGGGAAGAAAUUGCUCAGGUUAAUACCUUGAGUAGAUGACGGUACCCGCAUAAGAAGCACCGGCUAACUACGUGCCAGCAGCCGCCGUAACAC
rnacentral:rRNA from 1 species